rnacentral:tRNA from 1 species
GGAGAGGUGGCCGAGCGGUUUAAGGCGCUGGUCUUGAAAACCGGUAUAGCAGCAAUGUUAUCGUGGGUUCGAAUCCCACCCUCUCCG